AUUCCAGCUCCAAUAGCGUAUAUUAAUGUUGUUGCAGUUAAAAAGCUCGUAGUUGGAUUUCUGGAUUGAGCGGCUGGCCUUGCGCGCAAGCGUUCGUGACGGCUUCGUUUCGGUCCAUCCUCAGGGGGACUUGCGCUGGCAUUAACGUGUCGGUGUUGGGACGCCUGUCGUUUACUGUGAACAAAUUAGAGUGUUCAAAGCAAGGUGUACUUGAAUACAUUAGCAUGGAAUAAUAAGAUAGGACUUUGGUGGUUCUUUUUGAUAUUUUGUUGGUUUGCACGCCAAAGUAAUGAUUAAUAGGAGCAGUUGGGGGUAUUCGUAUUCAAUUGUCAGAGGUGAAAUUCUUGGAUUUAUAGAAGACGAACUACUGCGAAAGCAUUUACCAAGGAUGUUUUCAUCA
rnacentral:rRNA from 1 species